GUGAGGUAGUUUAUUAAAACUUUUGGCUGUUAAUCAAAAAAUAGGGUUUAUGCCUCUUUGCCG
rnacentral:tRNA from 1 species